GCCCAAAGAAAUAAUUUGAAAUUGAAUUUUUUAAGCUUUUCAAAUGACCUCGUCUGAAAAAACUUCUAAAAUGAAAGUUGUAGAUCUCGAAAAGUUAUGAAAUUUUGUAGUUGAAAUUUUUUUUUAUUUGAGAUCAUCUUGUCAUCGAAAACUACGUUUGAAUCUCAUAAAUUUGAAAUUCAAAUUUUGUAAAUGACCUCGGAUGGAGAAACUACCAAUAUAAAAGUUGUAGAUCUUGAAAACUUAUCAAACUUUCUAGUUGACAACUUUUCCAUUUGAAUCCGUUUAGGGCCUCAAAUAAUCAAUAUAUGCUCGGUUUAGGAUAAUAUGUAGAAAACUAAGCUCUAAUAUAGACACAAGUGAGUGAUGGAUCGAGUGGUAGAGGAGGCUAAUCCCACUAACCGUGAAGCGUGCGAUUUUACGCAAAAAAUGCGCGAUCUAUCUUCUACAGGCGGUUCUCACUGUGGAAAAAUUUAUUUCCACAAGCACCCAGCGCAGACGGUUCGCCAAUCCGCCCGUGGAAAGGCGUUGGGAAUUGCCUAUGUAGUGGUUCUGUGUACUAGUAAUUGUACAACAACGCGCGCGUCCAGCGCUGCAAUCAGAUUGAAGCCAGCAUCUGACUAAGGCGAUGAUAUGUACACCACCAGGCAGAGGGGCGCAUCGUGGCUUCCUGAUGCUUCUCAAUCCUGAAUGUCUUUACAGGCAAGAUGCUGUGCUGCCUUUUGCGUUAUAUUGCUUCAUCAUUUCCUGGCCUGCAUAAAGCCUCCUUCUUGAGUGGUGGUAACCCGCCUAUGAGCUCUCACACAAUUGCCUUGGCUUGUCUGAUGAUAAAAAAAGAACAUUGCCUUUGCUUGUUGCAACCUAAUAUUUAAACUACACAACAGCUAGUGGUGCUUCAACCUGUAAGUCAUUUGUAGUCUUGUCUAGGUUACUAGUACUAUAAAGUAUAAACCAUUCAUAAUUUGAAUCAUAAAUUCUGGAUAUCAGGUAGCAGACAUGCUCAGCAUUCAUGCUACCGGCCAACUACACACGCAUCUCAGAUUAAACAUAUAUAUUGCUGCUGUUUGUCGAUG
rnacentral:lncRNA from 1 species